UAUUCCUUGCCGCCGGGUAUGGAAUUCAGCGCCAGACUUUCUAUCGUUAGGCCAUUGAAGAUAGAAGGCUCUGGCGCUUUUUUUCA
rnacentral:ncRNA from 1 species